ACUUUAAACACACAUUUUUUUUACCACAAAGUCAGCCUCUCAAUGAACCUCCUGUUAAGUCGAAACAUUUUAUCACUGAGUACCACCAAAUUCGUACAAAACCCGUAAAAUUAAAAUGUCUAUUAAUAACUCAACAAUGCAUCUUAGAAAAACCAAUACAUUUUUCGCCGCAUUCAGAAUCUAAAAUUUAGUUAAAUGUUGUUUUUCAUUUUUAUAAAGAAAUUUAAAUAUCAAAUUUUGACGAAAAUCAUUGGAGUAAAAUCUAAUUUUUCAUUUUUUUUUUUUUUUUUUUUUUUUUUUUUUUUUGACAUACGUAUUGCUGAUUUAAGAACGAUGGUGAAGUCAGAAUUGAGCGGAAUGACUAAGUUUCAAAAUUAUAGCUUUAUGAAGUUCUGAUAUUAUGUGGAUAUUAUACGUUAUGUUUAAUAACUCAAUAUUAUCUUCUUUAGACUAUUUUUGUCGUAGCUGAACGAUUAUAUAUACAUAUUGUCAUUCUAAUAGUCACAAGUGCAAACCCGUGUUUCAAAAAGAUUGUUAGUACUUAUUUUUUUCCUUUUCCUAAACAGAGCAAAAACAAAUGUAUUUUAUAUGUACCUAGUUUAAUUAUUUUACCAUAAUAUGACAUAUAUAUUAUAUAUUGUUGACAGAGCAUCACUAUCCACUGAACUGCGCUCAGAAUCGUCUUUUCGUUAGCAAUAGUUUAUCCUUACUUACAGAUAUACAUUAAAUGACCUAUAAAAGCGACUGCAUCUGUUUAUAUUAUUCUAUAACGUCUUUUUUUUGUAUAGGUUGCUUUUUGAAAAUCAAAUAUAGGUAGAACCUCACAUUUAAAAAUAAGGGUGCCAAAAUAAGGACAAUAUAACA